rnacentral:tRNA from 2 species
GCCUCCGUAGCUCAAAUGGACAGAGCGGCGAGCCUCUACCUCGCGCUGCUGCGGGUUCGAGUCCCGCCGGAGGCU